UGGGGAAUAUUGCACAAUGGAGGGAACUCUGAUGCAGCGACGCCGCGUGAGUGAUGAAGGAAUUCGUUUCGUAAAACUCUGUUCUAUGGGAAGAAAAGGACUGUACCAUAGGAGAAAGCUCCGGCUAAAUACGUGCCAGCAGCCGCGGUAAUACGUAUGGAGCGAGCGUUGUCCGGAAUUAUUGGGCGUAAAGGGUGCGCAGGCGGCUUUACAAGUUGGAUGUGAAAUAUUGUGGCUCAACCACAAACGUGCAUCCAAAACUGCAAAGCUUGAGUUAAGGAGAGGUAAGUGGAAUUCCUGGUGUAGAGGUGGAAUGCGUAGAUAACAGGAGGAAUACCGGUGGCGAAGGCGACUUACUGGACUUAAACUGGCGCUCAGGCACGAAAGCGUGGGGAGCAAACAGG
rnacentral:rRNA from 1 species